rnacentral:misc_RNA from 1 species
AACCUAGCACACCUGCGGUGUGUACCUGCGGAAGGAUCAUUAAUAAAUGUUACUUCGGUAACUUAAUUAAUCCCUAACACCUGUGCAUCUUGUCGCUUCGGCGUCAUUUUAUAAACAUCAGUGUAAUGAAUGUAAAGUAUUAUAACAAAUACAACUUUCAACAACGGAUCU